ensembl:misc_RNA Metazoa_SRP Metazoan signal recognition particle RNA
GCCAGGCAUGGUAGUGCAUGCCUGUAAUCUUAGCUACUCAGGAGGCUGAGGCAGGAGGAUGGCUCGAGCCUAGGAGUUCGAGGCUGCAGUGAGCUAUGAUGGUGCCACUGCACGCCAGCCUGGGCUACAGAUCAAGACCUUGUCUUAA